UCUGAACUAGUUUCACUUUUGGUUUCUUUACAAUCAAUGGACAAUGAAGAGAAGUUCCGAUAUGACAAAUGGCGGGAAUUCCGUAGAUGCUGAUGAUGGAGGAUGGUUGUUCUUCGGCUGAACACGGUUGUUUGAAGAAAAAAUAUCGACAUGCUGAUAAUAAUGAAUCACAGUACUCGCACAGAGCUGGUUGCUGUUUUUUCUCAUUUGAUUUCAAAAACGCCAUUUAUUAUAAAGACAGUCUUAUAUAGAAAUAAUACACUGGAAAGAAAUGAGUCCAAUAAUUGGUAGAACAAGGGUACCAGGACAGCAGUCAUAUGAAAAGCAAGUUUCAUAAUUCUGUAAAAUAAAAUAUCCAACAGUUGCUUCCCUUACCACACAGUAUGGUUACUUGCAGGAAAUAAUUAG